GGAUAGAUGAUGAUCAUAAUAUUAUGAGGGUGCUGAAUGAUUCACUCUAGAUAACAGUCUGAGAUCU
rnacentral:snoRNA from 1 species